GUCCACGCCCUAAACGAUGCGAACUGGAUGUUGGGUGCAACUUGGCACCCAGUAUCGAAGCUAACGCGUUAAGUUCGCCGCCUGGGGAGUACGGUCGCAAGACUGAAACUCAAAGGAAUUGACGGGGCCCGCACAAGCGGUGGAGUAUGUGGUUUAAUUCGAUGCAACGCGAAGAACCUUACCUGGUCUUGACAUCCACGGAACUUUCCAGAGAUGGAUUGGUGCCUUCGGGAACCGUGAGACAGGUGCUGCAUGGCUGUCGU
rnacentral:rRNA from 1 species